UUCUGUUACAUUGUAGCAAAAUGGCGACUGUCAUUCACAACCCCCUGAAAGCACUCGGGGACCAGUUCUACAAAGAAGCAAUCGAGCACUGUCGUAGCUACAACUCUCGGCUGUGUGCUGAGCGCAGCGUCCGCCUUCCCUUCCUGGAUUCACAAACGGGGGUAGCUCAGAACAACUGCUACAUCUGGAUGGAGAAGAGACACAGGGGACCAGGCCUGGCCCCAGGUCAGCUGUACACGUACCCAGCACGUUGCUGGCGCAAAAAGAGGCGUUUGCAUCCCCCGGAGGAUUCCAGGCUGAAGCUGUUGGAAAUUAAACCUGAAGUUGAUCUGCCCCUGAAGAAGGAUGGGUUCACCUCAGAAAGUACAACUCUGGAAGCCUUGCUGCGUGGAGAGGGAAUAGAGAAAAAAACAGACACUAAAGAGGAAGACACUAUACAAGAAAUCCAGAGGGUUUUAGAAAAUGAUGAAAAUGCAGAUGAAGUGAAUGAGGAAGAGGAUUUGGAAGAAGAUAUUCCAAAACGAAAGAACAGGCCUAGAGGACGGCCAAAGACCCCCACCUGGAAAAAAAUUUUCCAGAAAAAUGCUCGGGGAUCUGGAGGAGGCAGGAGACGGAAUGAUGCUGCCUCCCAGGAUGAUCAUGACAAACCCUAUGUUUGUGACAAUAGUUACAAACAAAAGCAUAACUCAAAAAUCUCCGACAAAGUCUGUGGCAAGCGUUACAAGAACAGGCCUGGGCUGAGCUACCACUAUGCUCACACCCAUCUUGCCAGUGAAGAGGGUGAUGAAGCUCGCGAGCAGGAGACCCGCUCUUCCCCUGUCCACAGAAAUGAAAACCACAAGCCCCAGAAAGGACCAGAUGGGGUCAUCAUUCCCAAUAACUACUGUGACUUCUGCCUUGGAGGCUCCAAUAUGAACAAAAAGAGUGGCCGGCCAGAGGAACUUGUAUCAUGCUCAGACUGUGGGCGCUCUGCUCAUUUGGGAAGAGAAGGCAGGAGGGACGAAGCAGCGCCAGCACGCACUACGGAGGACUUGUUCGGUUCCACGUCAGAAAGCGACACCUCGACCUUUCAUGGCUUUGACGAGGACGAUGCAGAAGAGCCUCUCUCAAACCGAGGAGGCGGCUGUGGUGGCAGCUCUCCCUCUGCAAACAAAAAGGGCAGCUGCUAAAAUAACUAAAAAGACACACAAACUUUGAGCGAUUUGCUGUCUUUUUUACUACUAGAAUUGUUAUCAGCUUUUAUUUUAUAAUUUUUUUAAUUUUAGGUCCUUGGGUUUUUUUUUGUUUGUUUUUGUUGGGUUUUUUUUUGUUAUUUUUGUUUUUUUUUCCUGUAGGGUGUACACUGAAAGCACAAGUGUUUAAAGCUCUUGACAACUACUUUGAAGAGACAGAAAGUUUUGAUUUUCCUGUUAUGUUUUUCAUUUUAAUUUGUUUUUCUCCCACCUCUCCCCUUCUCUUUCUCUCUGGAAAUGUAAAAGGUGGAUUUAAUAUUUUUUUUAAUAGUGAGCAGAGUUGAUUUUCUUGUCUUUUAAUAUAUAUAUCAGCAAACCACAAAAAAUACAGAUGGGUUGGAGAGCAGAAAGCAAACCCAAAUAGUUUUUUUUAAUUAUUAUUAUUAUUUAUAUAUUCUAAAUAUUAUUAGAAAAACUACUUUUUAAAUAAAAAUAGAAAAAACUACAAAAACAAAAAAGCAAUGGAUGUCUACUUGAUAAUAGAACUGUUUCUAGAGAACCAAUGUGGGCGGACUCUAUCGGGGGACAAAGAAACCCUUGAUGUGAUGGCUUCUGCAUUUUGAGAUUUUGCACUUACUGUAGCAUGUGGAGUUUGGCUACACUUGUCUUUAACAGUCUGAAAACACAAGCAGCAUCACUGAAGACCAUGACCUUGGGGAACACAUUUCCAUCCCUCCUUUGGACACCUUUGCACUCAAUAGAUCUCUUCCUCCUUGCACCCCUUCAUGUCUUCCUCACUCCGUUCUACUUUUUAUUUUUUCCUUUUCCUCCACCUUUCACUUCAUGGACAACAAUUUCCAAGCAUAGGGAUGGAAUAUGAAUGGCAAAUCGUAAACGUCAAAGACAAAACAGCUGGAGGAGCAGAAUCAUGGAAGAAAUUACAUGGAAAAAUACCUCACCUGUACUUUUCUUUCCAUUUUUAAAUUUCAAUUCACAGUAUUUUUUCCUGUGUCGCCCAGUUUUUUCUCUCUUGCAGUAUCUUGUGGGACACUUUUUUUGCUUUUCAAUAGCUUCUUUGAAAUAAACCAAAGCAAUACUAAUUAAAGUUCCAAGGGCAAUGGAGAAGAGUGGCUCCCUUCCCAGCGACUUUCUCAGAAAGGAGGAAACAUGCAGCAGGAUUUGAAAGUCAGCUGUGCCCUCAUGGAUUCCAGUAUCCUUCAAGCAAGACAUUUCAGAAGAAGGCCGAAAGAAGUCAAAAUGCUUUGAUACUUCUCCUCUCCUUGCCCUGACCUUCCAUAUCCGUGUUUCAUCUGGCACAGGAGCCUGGACUGUGGGAAGUUGGCUGCCAACAGCUGAGAGAAGUUCUGGGGAUGCCCUAAGCUGGUGCAAUACAAAGAAGUUUUUUAAAGUCUUGAUUUCACUUUCUUUUAAGCGUGUGUAUAAACCCAGGUCAAACUGGAAUUGAUCUACAGUAGAACUGACUGAAAAACAAACAAACUGAAAAAAGACUUAACUAUUUUAUUUAUUUCGAUAUUUAAGAAAGAAAAGAAGUGCUGAAGUUGCACAGUAUUUUUGUUUUAAAUACAUUUUACUUCAAAUUUUAGAUGCAAUUUUGUGAAGACAUGAAAUUUUAAAAAGCACUUAAUGUAAAAUAAAGACUGAAUAUUUACUUUAAGGAAAAAACUUUUUAAAAUAAUGAAAAUAAAGAUCAACUCUGCUCUCUCUCUUACUUUAAAGAAGCCAUUCAUACAUGUGCUGGGUAUCUUUGUUUUUUGCAAAUUGGAUGUGGUAAGUGAUGAUUGUUCUGGUUUACUUUCUCCUUAAUCAUAAUAUCCUGUUAGAUGCUUGAAACUUACUUUGCUGUACUGUUAGGCACAGAUCUGAACAAAAAACCUGUUGAAAUAGCAAAGAUCAGGCUCAGUGGCUGGAUUUUUUUGUUACCAGAUUUUGUGUCCCAUUUUAAGGACUGUCUUCUCCCAGUAAGAUUGAUAUAUCUCUUCUGCACAGUAAGAGAGGUUUGCUCUUCAGCAACUUUGAAAUACUUCUGCUGAAAGAGGGGUUUAAAAAAGGAGAACAACACUGUUAAUUUUAGGUUUGUUUUUUUCAUUUUUGGUAAUUCCACAGCUGAUUGUGAGUUGGUUAUAAGGAAAGUACCUAAAUGUCAGGUGCUCUUGGCACAGAUCUUCCUAUUGGAGUCAAGGAUGAUGCCAUCUGUAGAAGUCUUGUGUAUUUUAGCUCUUUCUGAAUUGGUAGUGGACUUUGAAAAGUGUACAGGUGCACCCAUAUGUCAGCAGUGAGCAAAAGGGUGACAGUCAGCAGAAGAAUGUGAGUUCCCAUAGCUACAAUCCUAAAUUGUCCUAUGAGGAAGUGGUGAGGGAUGUUCACAUCCCAAAUCCUAAGUUGUUAGCCAUCUUAGUGAAAUAAGGUGUUCUGUUUCUUACAGUGAAAAGCACAGGACCAUUCACUGUCACGUGUGAUACAGUCUCGUAAGACUGGAGGAUAGCCUUGUGUUCUAGGUGAAAGGUAUUGUACUUGGCUCUGAGAUUAGCUUCUCCUCUGUAACAGGGGUGCCAGACAUACCUAUUGAUAUACACCCAGGGUAUAGGAAGGGAAAGUGGUUUUGUUAAUGUGGCUUGUGUUGGGGUUUGGAAUGAAAAAAACUAUGUCUAAUAAAAAUGCAUCCUGACCAGGUGAAGCUGCCAGAGAACCUCAUCCUGCACAUCCUGGUUUCUUGCACACCUGAAACUCAAGCUCACCUUGUUGAGAGGUUUCCGUGUAUCACUAGCAACAGAUUUUGUCCUCUUCUCCCUUCCCCUUCUCCUUCUUCUUCCCAGAUUAACACAUAAGGCCAGAAAUAAAUGUGUAAGAAGUCUGGUAGACCUGAGUCCUGCUCCCACUAAGUUGAAUGACAAAAUUUAUGUCCUAAUUGGGCUCUUUAGCAGGAUUAUUUUGUUUUGUCAUUUGCUGGUUUCUAAACUGGCAGUAGUGAACUGCCUCCAGAGAAAAAAGAAAUCAAAUUUUAUCUCGUCAAAAUAUAACAAGACGCACAACUGUAAUGAAGACUUGCAAACUGUAGGGUCUUGUGUUCAUUUUGUGUAAUAUUCCUUCCAAAUAAAAGUUCUGCUUCCAACA